rnacentral:rRNA from 1 species
GGCGACCGGCCACACUGGAACUGAGACACGGUCCAGACUCUUACGGGAGGCAGCAGUGGGGAAUCUUCCGCAAUGGGCGCAAGCCUGACGGAGCAACGCCGCGUGAGCGAAGAAGGCCUUCGGGGUUGUAAAGCUCUGUCCCGGGGGAAGAACAAAAGGACGGUACCCCGGGAGGAAGCCCCGGCUAACUACGUGCCAGCAGCCGCGGUGAAACGUAGGGGGCGAGCGUUGUCCGGAAUUACUGGGCGUAAAGGGCGUGUAGGCGGUUGCGCAAGUCAGUAGUGAAACCCGCCGGCUUAACCGGCGGCUGGCUACUGAAACUGCGCGACUUGAGUGCAGUAGAGGGGAGUGGAAUUCCCAGUGUAGCGGUGAAAUGCGUAGAUAUUGGGAGGAACACCAGUGGCGAAAGCGGCUCCCUGGCCUGUAACUGACGCUGAGGCGCGAAAGCGUGGGUAGCAAACAGGAUUAGAUACCCUGGUAGUCCACGCCGUAAACGAUGGGUGCUAGGUGUUGCGGGUAUCGACCCCCGCAGUGCCGCAGUUAACGCAAUAAGCACCCCGCCUGGGGAGUACGGCCGCAAGGCUGAAACUCAAAGGAAUUGACGGGGGCCCGCACAAGCGGUGGAGCAUGUGGUUUAAUUCGACGUAACGCGAAGAACCUUACCAGGUCUUGACAUCCCCUGCCAGUCGUAGAAAUACGGCCUUCUCCUUUGUGGAGACAGGGAGACAGGUGGUGCAUGGUUGUCGUCAGCUCGUGUCGUGAGAUGUUGGGUUAAGUCCCGCAACGAGCGCAACCCCUACCUUUAGUUGCCAGCAAGUAAAGUUGGGCACUCUGGAGGGACUGCCGUUGACAAAACGGAGGAAGG